UUUCUCUCUCACUCUCACUCCUCUAAGCUAGGAAAACCCUACUUAAUCUCUCCCUCAGCCACGCCUCUUCACAGUCCAACUCUCCUUGAUUUCACCCCUCAAGUCUCAAAGACAUCCCUUCUAAGAAGCUUGAAUGGAGUAGUCUACAAAUUAGAGAUACUAGCAAGGAGAUCAAGAAGGUUUGGAGCUCAAAAGGAAAGGAGAACUCCAACCAAGAGAAGAAAGAGGAUAAAUAAUUGGCUAACGGUAGGCAAGGCAAGUGUGAUUGCGGACUGAUUGCACACGAAACAGGU